GACGAACGCUGGCGGCAUGCUUAACACAUGCAAGUCGAGCGGCGCGGCGAACGGGUGCGUAACGCGUGAGUAACUGCCCCCCUCUCUGGGGUAACCGGUGGAAACGGCUGCUAAUACCGGAUAGUGGGGGAUGACUCGCGUCACAUCAGCUUGUUGGUGGGGUAGGGGCAUACCCAGGCGACGACGGGUAGCCGGCCUGGGAGGGCGGCCGGCCACAUUGGGCUGAGAUACGGCCCAAAGUCCUACGGGGGGCAGCAGUGGGGAAUAUUGCACAAUGGUGGAAACCCUGAUGCAGCAACGCCGCGUGCGUGAUGACGGCCUUCGGGUUGUAAACCGCUUUCAGCCAUGACGCGGUAGUGGCAGAAGAAGCACCGGCUAACUACGUGCCAGCAGCCGCGGUAAUUC
rnacentral:rRNA from 1 species